UUAGCAAUCUCAGAGCCAGGUG
rnacentral:misc_RNA from 1 species